AUGUCGUGGGUCUCUGGGACAAGGAAGUUCACAGUCCUGGAUGGAAGAAGGGGAACAUCUGCCAAUUUUGCACCAUCAUCUGCCAGAAAUUCCAAGCAACCACAGAGAAAGGAUGUAAUGGAAGGAUGGAAAGGUAUUGAGCCAAGAUCCAGAAUUCUAAUCACAGAGAGAAGGCAUGCAUGUAACAGGCCGUGUAAAACAGACACAGCCCUGGAACCUCAUCUCCCUGAGUCCUUGCUGUUCUCAGAGAAGGAAAAAUCACUUCGAGCUUCAGUUGGUGUCUUUUACAUCCAAGAAUCUGGAUGGGAAUUGGAGCACAGAGUUUUUCCUUGGGAGGAAACAGGUAGGAGCCCCAAUAUUAUAUACCCUGUUUUGCCAUUCCUGAUAAUAAGGCAGUUGGCUUGAGAGAACAGUAUUACCGGGAGCCCCUGAAGGGCCGGGACAAUGCCUCAUCACCGCUGGGUAUAUCCCAGGAUGCUUGUGAGCAAUCCACAAUGGUGGGGUUGAAGGGGGCUUGUUACAAACUCAAUCUUAUAAAGUGCUGGUGAGCAUGGGCAAGUGCCCACUGUGCUGACCUGACAAUGGGGAGGACUUGAGCUUAGGGAGGCCCUGUGGCAGGGACGACAGGCACCAAAGCCGCCUAAGAGCCAAGGAUGUUGGUUGUUGCUUGGAACUGUGAAAAUGUAAAGGUAGCUUACCUUUCCUGCCUACUGGUCCCUCCUAGAUAACACAUCUAAGGCCACCCAGUUCACAUUUGAAAAGGAAAAAUGUGGUCAGUCUCUGUUUACAUCCCAAGCAACUGCUGUGAGGGAUUCUUGAUGGAACUGACUUAAUCAUACAGUUGUUUUGAUAUCACACAGACAACCACAGUUUUUAGGUUGGAAAAAAUUUAUGUGUGCAUUGACCUGACGCCAGCUGAUGGCAGC
rnacentral:lncRNA from 1 species